rnacentral:ncRNA from 2 species
AAGGAAAAUCGGGGGAGCUUGUGAAGCAGGCUGAGAGGAAGUCAUCUAACUUCGACCCUUUACCUGAUGCGGAUAAUGCCGCCGUAGGGAGUCAUAACUUGAUUCUU